UACGGAGGGUGCAAGCGUUGUCCGGAAUCACUGGGCAUAAAGGGCGCGUAGGCGGCGUGGUAAGUCACUUGUGAAAUCUCUGAGCUUAACUCAGAACGGUCAAGUGAUACUGCUGUGCUAGAGUGCGGAAGGGGCAAUCGGAAUUCUUGGUGUAGCGGUGAAAUGCGUAGAUAUCAAGAGGAACACCUGAGGUGAAGACGGGUUGCUGGGCCGACACUGACGCUGAUGCGCGAAAGCCAGGGGAGCAAACGGG
rnacentral:rRNA from 1 species